UUGCUCGCUUUGGCAGCACAUAAACUAAAACUGGAAAGAUACAUAGAAGAUUAGCAUGGCCUCUGCACAAGGAUGACAUGCAAAUUCGUGAAGCGUUCCAUAUUUUU
rnacentral:snRNA from 1 species